rnacentral:rRNA from 1 species
UACAGAGACUGCGAGCGUUAUUCGGAUUCACUGGGCGUAAAGGGUGCGUAGGCGGCCGUGUGUGUGAGGCGUGAAAGCCCGGGGCUUAACCCCGGAAUUGCACCUCAAACUACACGGCUAGAGCAUUGGAGAGGGUAGCGGAAUUCACGGUGUAGCAGUGAAAUGCGUAGAUAUCGGAAGGAACACCUGUGGCGAAAGCGGCUCACUGGACCAUUACUGACGCUGAUGCACGAAAGCUAGGGGAGCAAACAGG